rnacentral:rRNA from 1 species
GACGAACGCUGGCGGCGUGCUUAAUACAUGCCAGUCGAGCGAACAGGCGCGGAUUUUGCUCCUCUGUCGUUAGCCGCGGGCGGGUGAGUAACACGUGGAUCCUGUACUUAUAUGUCUGGGAUAACUUCGGGACACGGGAGAUAAUACCGUAUAAUCUAUUGAACCGCAUGGUGCAAUAGUGAGUGACGGUUUUGCUGUCAGUUCUAGCUGGUUCCGCGCCGGAGUAGCUAGUUGGUACGGUAACGGCUUACCACGGCGACGAUGCGUAGCCGACCGGAGAGGGUGAUCGGCCACACUGGAACUGGGACGCGGUCCAGACUCCUAAGGGAGGCAGCAGUAGGGAAUCGUCCGCAGUGGGCGAAAGCUUGACGGAGCAACGCCGCGUGAGUGAUGAAGAUCUUCGGAUCGUAAAACUCUGUUAUUAGUGAAGAACAAAUGUGUAAGUAACUGUACACGUCGUGACGGUACCGAGUCAGAAAGCCACGGCUAACUACGUG